GUCCACGCUGUAAACGAUGAGUGCUAGACGCUGUGGGUAUUGACCCCUGCGGUGUCGAAGUUAACACGUUAAGCACUCCGCCUGGGGAGUACGGUCGCAAGAUUAAAACUCAAAGGAAUUGACGGGGGCCCCGCACAAGCGGUGGAGCAUGUGGUUUAAUUCGACGCAACGCGCAGAACCUUACCUGGGUUCGAACGGCAGUGGACGAGUGCAGAGAUGUACUUUCCCUUCGGGGCCGCUGUCGAGGUGCUGCAUGGCUGUCGU
rnacentral:rRNA from 1 species